rnacentral:misc_RNA from 1 species
UUUAAUAUGCUGGAAAGGAAGUAAGUUCGGUGAAUCUAGAAACACGGUGGUGUACAGAAAAGUGAAGUACAAAAUGGGCACAGCGAUUUCGUAGUCAGGGUAGACACGUAACUGGAUUUAUUUUUGUGUGUGUGUUUUUCUUCUGCAAACAUGAUGGAUCUAAACUCCAUUACAAGACAAAUAUUUCUUUGAAUGAUCUGUCUAAAACGCACAGAGCAUGCUAAGGAGAAGCACGUCUGUUGUAUGUAGGGUAUAAAGAUUACAUGAUUUUGGACCUGUGACUUGUAUCCUGUGAAUAUUAAAAUCUGACAUCAUAUAUUUUACUGUGUUGUGGUACAGCAAGAUUACCUAUUUUAACCUACAUGUUCAAGAUAGCGAGCCCAUAUCCGCUGACGGUUCAGGCACGUCCAUCCUGGGCACGAGUUCUGAUUUCCGCCAGAUCUCCUGUCAAGGCGUCUGUACUGGGAGACGAAAUCGUUGUCACAGAUAUGCUGUUUAUUUGGAAGGAACGUGCGUAGCAGGAUAAUCUGGGGAUUUUAUCUACUGCAUCGCCAUUUUCAACUGAUGGAUUUAGUUUAUAUCCAACAUAAAAGUGUAAUCAAGAAAUGAACAGUCGUAAGUGGACUGAACAACAAAUCAUCACCGUUCGUGAAUUACUUCACAAAUAUGCACGUCAGCUGGAAGCAGUGUCGGGAAGAGACGUGGGCGUACACGGCUCUUGCUGGCAUCGUCAGCUUCCACAUGGGGAUCGUCGUCGGCGUCUUCGCCUUCAAAGGCCUUGUGGGCGACGACAGUUUCUCCGAUGCUGUCCAAGUCAUUGGGACCAUCAUCUCCGUCGCUGGCGUGGCUCUGGUGAUAGCCUCCGGGGUGCUGUACAGACGACAACGACGCCAUCUGCGGCCGUGUAUUUGUUGCGGCGAGGACAUUGAGGCCGCAGUCGUUCCGUUUCCGCCUAGUAGGCGGCUGCGCUUUGCUCCGAAUUUAGUCUCUCCGUACUACCUCGAAGCCGUGAAGGCGGACCUUGGAAGCAAAAAUAUCACGGGGAACAGUGACCACAUUCACCUGUUCGAGACAUGCAGUAAUGAUUCUCGGAGAACCGCGGACAGUAAAGAUUCUUCGAAACCCGCGUCUGAAAGAGAUGAUCGGAGUCCAUCUUACAAGAAAGAGCACCGAAAAACACCAUGUUAAUUAUUCAUUUGAAAGAAGCAAAUGGUUAUAAACAGGACGAGCUGUGAUAUUAUUAUUAUUAUUAUUAUUAUUAUUAUUAUUAUUAUUAUUAUUAUUAUUAUUAUUACGUCAUGUUAGUUUGAAAGACACUAAGAAUCAGCAGGGAUAUCGUGAUUCAUCGUCUGCUGAAUUACAACCUACUCAUUUGUUUCUGAAUCUUCAGUUACCCCUAUAUGACAAUGACAACCCUCUUUGGAAUAUGGGACCAUGCGUUGAUGUUAAAACAAUUGUGUAAAAUAGAUACUGAUCUUUAUCAUUAGCUAGUUAUUAUUAUUAUCUUUAUUAAAUACAUUGCAAAAAUA